rnacentral:rRNA from 1 species
CCUUGGCAUCCUCCUGGGGAACGGUGCUGCGCUUGAUUGCGUGGUCCGGUAUUCAGGACUUUUACUUUGAGGAAAUUAGAGUGUUUACGGCAGGCAAUCGCCUUGAAUACAUUAGCAUGGAAUAAUACUAUAGGACCUUGGUUCUAUUUUGUUGGUUUCUAGAACUAAGGUAAUGAUUAAUAGGGAUAAUUGGGGGCAUUCGUAUUAACACGUCAGAGGUGAAAUUCUUGGAUUGUGUUACGACGAACUACUGCGAAAGCAUUUGCCAAGGAUGUUUUCAUUGAUCAAGAACGAAAGUGCGGGGAUCGAAGACGAUUAGAUACCGUCGUAGUCUGCACCAUAAACUAUGCCAACUAGAGAUUGGAGGUCGUUCUUUUUAUGACUCCUUCAGCACCUUAUGAGAAAUCAAAGUCUUUGGGUUCCGGGGGGAGUAUGGUCGCAAGGCUGAAACUUAAAGGAAUUGACGGAAGGGCACCACCAGGAGU